CGGAGGGUGCGAGCGUUGUCCGGAAUCACUGGGCGUAAAGGGCGCGUAGGUGGCUUGGUAAGCGUGUGGUGAAAGCCUGGGGCUCAACCCCGGGUCGGCCAUGCGAACUGCCGAGCUUGAGCACUGUAGAGGCAGGCGGAAUUCCGGGUGUAGCGGUGGAAUGCGUAGAGAUCCGGAAGAACACCAGUGGCGAAGGCGGCCUGCUGGGCAGUUGCUGACACUGAGGCGCGACAGCGUGGGAGCAAACAGGAUU
rnacentral:rRNA from 1 species